GUGCACACAUAAUGCCCCAAGAUACGAUUCCACCAACAAACCAACGAUCCUUUUCACCCGGAUAGGGGCAGAGUAAAGGUCCACCGGAAUCACCCUAAAAAGUUUUUAUAUUCGUACCUGACAUGCAUCUUUGCCUCCUUCUUCAUAGCCAGCGCAAAUCAUGCCAUCAGAUACUGUCAGAUUAUCCAGCCACUGAUCGCACUGUUGUCGCCCAAUAAUGGGUACUUGCACUUCAUUGACAAUGGGCUCUUUAAUGCCGGGCGGUGGCAGACAAACCGGCAACAAAUGCUCGUGGAAAGCGACUCUUGUGGCAAGCUGUAAUAGAAGGUAAUGAAUGACAUAUUUGCAUAAGAACGGCAAUCGCGUAUGAAAAAAGCAUGAUGUUUUACUUACUUGAAACAGUGCUAUGUCAUUGUCAUGCGUGAUUAUAGUGUUGUAAUUUGGA